GGGGACCGCAAGGCCUGGCGCUUUUUGAGAAGCCCGCGGCCCAUCNGCUAAUUGGCGAGGUAAAAGCUCACCAAGGCUAUGACGGGUAGCUGGUCUGAGAGGACGACCAGCCACACUGGAACUGAGACACGGUCCAGACACCUACGGGUGGCAGCAGUCGAGAAUUUUUCACAAUGGACGAAAGUCUGAUGGAGCGACGCCGCGUGGAGGAUGAAGGUUUUCGGAUUGUAAACACCUGUCACUGCAGAACAAGGAUAUGCUCGUUAACAGCGAAUGUAUUUGAUGGUAUGCGGAGAGGAAGGGACGGCUAACUCUGUGCCAGCAGCCGCGGUAAGACAGAGGUCCCGAGCGUUGUUCGGAUUCAUUGGGCGUAAAGGGUGUGUAGGAGGCCAGGUAAGUCAGGUGUGAAAUCUCAGAGCUUAACUCUGAAACUGCGCUUGAUACUGCUUGGCUAGAGGAUCGGAGGGGGUAACGGAAUUUAUGGUGUAGCAGUGAAAUGCGUAGAUAUCAUAAGGAACACCGGUGGCGAAGGCGGUUACCUGGAAGAUUCCUGACUCUGAAACACGAAAG
rnacentral:rRNA from 1 species